AGAGUUUGAUUCUGGCUCAGGAUAAACGCUGGCGGCGCACAUAAGACAUGCAAGUCGAACGGAAGUCGUUAUAAAAAGGAUUGAAGAUUUAUCUGAUUGAGAUUUUAUAACAAUGGCUUUAGUGGCGGACUGGUGAGUAACGCGUGAGCAACCUGCCUACUAGAGGGGAAUAACAGUGAGAAAUCAUUGCUAAUACCGCAUAUGCCAUGAACAUCACAUGAUGAAAAUGGGAAAAGAGUAAUCUGCUAGUAGAUGGGCUCGCGUCUGAUUAGAUAGUUGGUGGGGUAACGGCCUACCAAGUCAACGAUCAGUAGCCGGACUGAGAGGUUGAACGGCCACAUUGGGACUGAGAUACGGCCCAG
rnacentral:rRNA from 1 species